rnacentral:lncRNA from 1 species
CCGAGGCUGACUGCGUGCACUGUGACACCUGAGGCUGACUGCGUGCACUGUGACACCGAGGCUGACUGCGUGCACUGUGACACCGAGGCUGACUGCGUGCACUGUGACUCCCAGGUGUCCUUCCCUCUACUUGCCCUUGGGUUUGUCUGAUGACGGCACCAGCAGACAAUAAGUGGCUGAUCCGGGGUCAGAUGUGCAUUGAAGUCGUCAGCGUGUGGUACUGACGGAAGCUGUGGGUGUGACUGAGGCCUCUCAGGAGGGACUGGGCAGUGAGGGGACAAUAGGCACUGAACACUGGGGAGAGCAGUGUGGCUCCUCCCAGAUCGUCCCCAGGCCUGAGGCUGCAGGGCCUCCAGGCAUGUGACCCGUGCAGGCUCUGCCCAGAGAUGUGACAUGCUCAUACCCAUGCAGGGCACAGCGGCUCCUGGAGUUGAAGGCGCUGUGGACACCUGAGUGAGACCGGUUAGAAAUGCCUGCCCUGCCUGGAUCAUGCCACCACAUCAAGUGUGACCCUGAACCUGAUCAUCUCCGUUCUCCCUGGGGUGUUGUCCCCUGGGUCCUUGUCACCAGCAGCAUCAGCCUUGCCGGGGCUCAUUGGAAUACAGAACCUCAGGCUGGCCCCUGGACCUACUGGAUCAGAACCUGCAUUCUGAAAAGGUCCUGGUGAGUCACAGGCAGAGGAAAGCCUCAGGAGCACUCCCUGCGUGCAUCACAGAAGCCCCGCUCACCCUGAGGCCUCGGUGUGGGCUGUGGUGCCCACAGCUCCAGCUCUCUAGGAACCAAUUAGAACUCCUGGUCAAAGAUGUGGAAGGAACGGACUCUUCCUCCAGAAUCCCCGUGAGAGAGACAAGGAAUGGGCAUUAAACCAAGCUAAGGGGAGGGGGCCGUAACGAGGCUCUGGGAGCUCCUGGGAAACGGUGACCAGUGACCAGCUCAGUGAGGCUAGGACCCUCGCUGGCGAGAUGGGAGGAGUUUUCCUCUUGAAGAAUCUGGCCAGGCUGUGAAAGAAGCCCAAUGGACAUGGACAUGAGGGGUUUCCCAAGAGAAUGCCCUAACAAGGGUGCAUCACAGAGGGCACAUGGGACCUGAGCACGGAGCUUCCAACAAGCUUUUCCUUCCUGCGAUUUGAAGUCAGCACCCCCAGACAGAGGAAAAUACGGAACGUGACAGUAGCAGACAUGGUCCUAUGAAGAGAGAAGAAAAUGUCAAAAUCACAACUGUGAGCGUCCUCAAGGGGUGAAAGAGGACACUCCAGCAGAUAACAAGGAUAGGAUGCUAUUAAAAAGAGCAUGAAAAUGUGAUUAAAAACACAGAAGUCAUAAAAACUGUGGACUCGGAAGUAAGCAAAUGUCCCCGAACAGAGAGCAGGAGAGGUGUGGUGUCCUCGAUGCCCACAGCUCGGUUGUCCUCCGGGCUCUGCCUUCGCCACCAUCUGCCAUGUUGGUCUUCUCUGUCCCUGAUGGACCUCUGGCUCUGUGGGCCCCUUCUGCUCAGAUCACAGUGUGCAGUGCCCUCCAGGCGGUACCUCCCCCUCACCCUGGGGCCUCCUGUUCCCUGAACUCUUCCCUCCCACGUUAGAACCACUGUGUCCUUGGUGACAGCCCGGGGCUCUCAGAUGUUUGGAUCUAAGGGAAAAACUACUCCCUGGACCCUCCACAGGAAGGCUCCUCUUGGAUAACAAAGAGAAGCUGCCGUGGCCGCGCCCAGUGCCAGGCUGGGGUCCAGGGCCUUUGGUCUGGGGAGUGCGGGGUCCACGGCUGGCCUCUCUGAGUCUCCUGGGAGAGACUGCCCGGUGGAAUCUUGUGGCCAGUGUUGUUGGCCGGGCCUGCAUGCUAAGCUGCCCAGCACCGGGGUGGGAAUGUGGCUGCUGUGUGAUUUCUGCAGAGCAAAGAAGUACAGAAACAGCCUCCGUGAAUAAUUUAGUCAAAUCAGCAGACCUACUGACUGUCAAGGUUUUACUGAAAAUGUCCUUGUGCCGGCAGCAUCGCCCUGGUAGGCCAGUGAAUGGAGCCAGUACACACCUCUCUUUCCCUGCCUGCUGUUGACGAUCUCCUCCGCCCCCAGAGCCUGGAGGCCCGUUUCCUCCUCAUCUUGCCCAUCGGAGAAGAUCCACUCUGCUGCUCCAGGCAGACUUCUGGGCGUCCCUGGGACUCUGUCCAGCUGUGCAUCCUUCCUCUCCUGGCCAGAACGCAGGUCCCUCAGGAUGGCCCUGGCCCUGUGUCCACUGCCGUUCCUCCACGUCUGCCAUGCUGCUUGGCACACGGUAGGCGCUCGGGAGAGGCUGUCUGAGACCACAAGCAGAGAGGGAGAUCCGUGUUCAGAGAGGCUGUUUGUCACCAGUGGGGGUCGGCGUGGUCAGGACGGGCCGGCAGAGGACCUGCAGGACUGGACAGAGCGGACGGGUGUGGACAGCUCUCCUCCCCUCUGCUCAGGGUGCAUCGUAGUGCAGGCCGGCGUCCCGGGUGUGCUGCUCUCGCCUGUGGCCGGAGGGGGUGGGUUUGUGGGCCUGGAGGAGCUGGCGGGAGGCCCCAGUCUGGGUGGGACGAGCCCGGCAGGGCAAGACCAGAGUGGGUGGAGUUGGGGACUGGAGGGCUCCCUGCAUCCAGCCCUCUGCGUGCUCUCUGCCGGCAUCGGGGUGCACAAGCCCACCAGCUCCCCAGACACACAGGAGCACGCGUGUACACACUCAGACACACACACAGACACACAGGAGCACGCAUAUACACACACAGGCACACAUACAGACACACAGGAGCACAUGCACACAACCAUACACACAGGAGCACAUGUGUGCAUGUACGCACACACACUACAAAGACACAGGGGCACAUGCAUACACAUACACACACAUUCAGCAGCACAUUUGUCCACAUGUGCAUGGGAGCAUGCGUGCACACACAGGAGCACAUGUGCAUGCACACACAGGAGCUUGUGUGUACACACACAGGAGCACAGGUAUGUGCACACACGCGGGAGAACACACACACACAGUGCUGGAACACCAUCACCAGUGUGCUGUCUGCUCCCCCCCGUUGGAAGGCGCUGCCCGAGUUGUCCCACACCUCCCCCAUCAGCACACUUCGAGAAGCGGGUCCUGACCAGCUCCAGUCCAUUGCGGGAAGCAGCCCUCAGACACGGGGACAGCUGCGGGCUCAUGGUCCUGAGAACCUGGCUCUCCUGCCACUGGGAGGGCUCACGGAGGACGCCUGGAACCCCCUCCGUCACCUCUUCAGACAGUCAGGAGCCUGCUUUCCCCAAAACUGGAAGGUUGGAGCCAUAGGAAAUGUCCCCAUCAUAUCAGAAAACUGAGGACUCUGCAGAAUGUUCUGGAACCUUCAGUGAGUGGGAGCUGCUGAUGCUGGUGACGGAGACUGGACAGGCUGUGAGGGGAGCAUGGGGACCUAGAGAAGCUUUGGGGACACAUCGGCACAUUUACAAUUUGUGCCUAAAUUUGCUCCUCCUUGGAGACCUGGCCAGGCUCAGAGCGAUCAACAGACAGGACGCCUGUCGCCAGUCAGUCAAUCGCUUGAUCGCUGGAUGAGUCAGUGGAUCAAUGCGCCGACUGCCCUCUGAACCGAGGGUGUGUUUCCUGGGAUGGGAAGAUGGUGAGGAGGCCCGACGCGCCCUGUGCGCUCAGCGCCCUGCUCCCCCAGCCAGCGGCGGCCUGCUCCAGCCUCUGGCCCUGCACACACAGGGGCAUUAAAGGAAGCUGCUUGUAGCAUGAGACAUCCGCCCUGUGGUCCUUCCUGCAGCUGUGUCCUCACUAAGGGAAGGUGACCGAGCCCAGAGUGGGAGGGGUCGGAGGGCCCAGCUGUGAGUGUGGACCAGGCUGAGGCCUCAUCACCAGCCAGGAGGCUCCCUGGAGACCCUGGGGCCAGAAUGACCUCCCUCUACAACCUUCCCUGGCUCCCCAUUGCUGUGCAGGGGAGUCCAUGCUCCUCACCCAAGGUCCCCAUCAUAACCUCCAUCAGACGCGCCCCCACUCCUCCUGGGCUUCACC